CAUCACGUUUGAAUUUACCAAGUUGGAAGUUACCAUUGUUUGUCUUGCAAUCCUGUUUCAUGAAUAAGAUUCCUCGUUAUGGAAGAUUUGAGUUCAGACUUCAUCCAGCUUGCUGUAGCAAAUAAAAUACGGUUUGGAACCAGCAGAGAAUUUGAGUAUGUCUCUUUUCAAGAAGGAUGAGGAUAGUUUUUGGAAGAACACCAAACUGUUAAUGCCCCUAAAUAAAGUUUGUUUUUGGUGGAGUAAGUACAGUAUGCAUCAUUUUUUUUUCAUUCUGCGUGCUUAUGACAUAUAAUGUACAUACCUCCCAACUCUUACCCCUGGCAAUUC